ACGAAUAUUCAGAUUAUUAUAAUCUGCAAGUGGCAAAAAUGAAGAUGAAAAUAAUAAUAACAAAGAAAAAAGUGAUGAAGAUAUAAAUAAUGCUUCUGAAAACGAUAUAAAUCCGAAUACUUUAAAUUGUAAUUCGAAUGUCUUUUUUUCAAGCGACAGUGAAACAGAAACAGAAAAAUACUUUUCUCAGAAAAGAAAACGUUCUACAUCACCAUAUGGGAAAUGUAAAAGAGUACAUUGGAAUGAAACCUAAAAAAAGAUUGUAUUGAAUUCCUUUGGAAGCUGUAUCUUGAAAAACAAGUU